rnacentral:rRNA from 1 species
UACGGAGGGGGCAAGCGUUGUUCGGAAUCAUUGGGCGUAAAGGGCGCGUAGGCGGCUUUGUAAGUCCGUUGUGAAAUCCCUCGGCUCAACCGAGGAACUGCGACGGAUACUGCUUGGCUUGAGUCCCGGAGAGGGUAGCGGAAUUCCCAGUGUAGCGGUGAAAUGCGUAGAUAUUGGGAGGAACAUCGGUGGCGAAGGCGGCUACCUGGACGGGUACUGACGCUGAUGCGCGAAAGCUAGGGGAGCAAACAGG